UACGAAGGGGGCUAGCGUUGCUCGGAAUCACUGGGCGUAAAGGGCGCGUAGGCGGCCAUUCAAGUCGGGGGUGAAAGCCUGUGGCUCAACCACAGAAUUGCCUUCGAUACUGUUUGGCUUGGAGUUUGGUAGUGAGGUUGGUGGAACUGCGAGUGUAGAGGUGAAAUUCGAUAGAUAUUCGCAAGAACACCAGUGGCGAAGGCGGCCAACUGGACCA
rnacentral:rRNA from 1 species